rnacentral:misc_RNA from 1 species
UAAUGGCUGUUGGGAGUUUCAGGAAACUCACCAUGUUUAUAAACAUGGCUGGUGAUGACUGACACCACGUGUUGCAAGACCAUCAACGGUUGAUUUGACAGACACAUAUGCUGGUUAUAUAGUCCUGAAAUGAAUGAACUGACAUUCACUGCUAAGAGCAUUUAAUAUAACUCGUCACUGUGGUUCCCGCGUGCUCCUGUGAUACACUGAGCUAAGGAUGGAGAGAGGUGUAAGAGUGCUUACAGCGGCGGUGUUAGGAAGUGCCUCUGUCUACGCUGGUGUACUAACAUUUCGUCAGCUGUACAAACAUUUUAAAACACAGGCAAGGAAAUGUCAGAGUAGAAAAAGAACCAACCAAAAUAUCCAUCUCAUCUCUACGGCGAAGGACUGGCAAGAUCAGCAGAAAACGCUACAAGAACACCUGAAAGUUAUGAAGGUUGUGGGUUUGGACUGUGAGUGGGUGUCAGAUCACAGUACCGGACACCGCUCCCAGGUGGCCCUGCUGCAGCUGGCGACAACCUCUGGUCUGUGUCUGUUGGUGAGACUGUGUCACAUGGGAGGGAUGAUACCGCAGACAUUGAAGGACUUGUUAGCAGAUCCAAGUAUACUUAAAGUUGGUGUAGCAGUGAAGGAUGAUGGGAAAAAAUUGGCCAAGGAUUAUGGGAUGGUUGUUCAAGGCUGUGUUGACCUGCGACAUCUCUUGACUCGUGUGAGACAUAAGUAUAAAUGUGAUUCCAGUCUCCAGGGUCUGGCUGAAGGUAUUCUGGGAGUGACGAUGGACAAGAGGAGGGAGAUUCGCUGCAGCAACUGGGAGGCAGACACCCUCUCUGUAGAUCAGGUACACUAUGCAGCAGCUGACGGCCAGGUGGGCGUUGACAUCUUCACCAAGCUGGUGCUGACCAAGCUGAAGGGUGGUGACCCGGGGGACCUGGUGUGGAACAUGGAGGAGGUCGACCUGGAAGAGGUCUGGAGACUGGCCAGGGCCAUGUGCCAGGGCAUUGUGGACAUUGGUCACAGACAGUCGGGGACACAGCGCAGAACUCAGUCAUCGGCUAAGCAGACGGAGAAGCCUGGGAUUGAGAAAGGACGUGCCUAUUCCGCCCGGGCUCGACCUCUGUAUCACAACUGCCAACUCCAGGCUCCUGAUGGGCAGCCCCUGUGUACGUGUGACAUCCGUAAGGCAGAGUGGUACAUAGAGAAACAGCUAGGAGACAAGGUAUGUGAACGGCCCCUCACUGUACGUCUGAGGUUUGAGCCAUCGGGUCGUCCCGAGUCAGAGCACAACUACUACCUCCAGGAGAAGGAGAACGUCUGCGUCGUGUGCGGCAACAACAACACCUACACCAGGAAGUUUGUCGUACCCCAGGAGUACCUAAAAUACUUCCCGCCACUGUUGAAGGACCACAGGUCCCAUGAUGUGCUGCUGCUGUGUCCCCCCUGUCACCAGGUGAGCUCCAACCAUGACGCCGUCCUGCGGCAGGAGCUGGCCGUGGAGUGCGACGCCCCCAUCGACUCCGGGCUGGGAUGUCGUAGUGUACAGAACCAGGACCUCAUGAAGAUCAGAUCAGCGGCCAAAGCACUGAAACUAAGCAGACCCCAGAUCCCUGAAGCAAGGGUAAUUGUGUUGGAAAAGACAUUGAUGGAUUACUAUGGAGUUACCUCCCUUACUGAUGAUUUGUUGGAGACAGCCAUCAAUAUGGACACAAGAAUCUUCAACUCGGAUUACAUGCCACAUGGGAAAAAGGUUGUUGAACAGUUCAAACAGAAGGGGAAACUGUGGGAUUUUGAAAGGCGAUGGAGAAAGAGCUUUGUGGACACCAUGAAGCCCAAGUUUCUUCCUCCUCUCUGGUCUAUCGAACAUCAUCAUAACGGAGUCUUAUCCACUCACUAGAGUCUGGAACACCACAGGAACGCCUCUGAAUGAACUGUUUUACGCCACAGUUUCUCUCUCCUCCUCUAUGAUCUAUCAAACUUCAUCUUGUCAACUCACUAGAGUCUGGAACUCUGUGACAUGAUGUAUAUUAUGUCAUCACACCUGAAGGCAUCGAUUGUUGCUGAUGACAUCAACCACUGGUUUUCCUGACCCAGACAUGAUUACUUAAUAACCACAAUAUUGCUGAUUGCCACCUUAAUCAAAACACACACAGGCUUUCCUCUUGAAUUACGCAGACAUGCCAUUACAGAACUGAACAAGAUGGCACCUUCCCAUACUAUUUUUCAGUACAGAUGCUUGUAUCUUUAGAUGAUAUCUUUAUCAAGCUCCUGAAAGUAUAAACAUGUGACUAUGGACAUCUGAUUGUUCCUACCACAUGGAGAAGAGGGCCUGCCAUAUAAAGUGCUGCAAUUGGCUGUGCAGAAUGCCUCACAAGAUCCUGUGAUCGGGGGGUUCAAAAUCCAAUUUGCUCAGUUCUGGGUUGGUGAGCGCCAUACGUGGGUUUCUUCAAUGUCAUAAAUAUCCGAGACCUACAUCACUUCGCCUUUCCUCCCACAUCAAGCCGACGUUACGAUGACAUGACCGGAAUCUGUUCAGUGUAGCUGUAAGUUCAACUCGCUCAGUCAUGAUUUUUCCAAAUGUCUUCUUAAUGUUGGACAUUUUUGUCUAUUGUUUACAUAAUAUGUGAAUAAUUAUUUCUGGAGUAUUUAUUUUUGUAAAUAAACACAAGAAUUGGGUACUAUUGUAUAACUUUUAUUCACAUCUA